GGCAAUUUUUCCAAUAACUGACUGGGUUCAAAAAGAACUUUUUGGCAGGACUGCUAUGCUUGUUGUCAUCUGUUUACUGCUAUACAAUCACUUAAAUUGUUAUUAACUGCUGCAUGCUAAGCUGCAGGAGUGCACUGAGGAUUGAGACAAAAUAUGGUCUACAAACCAGCAUUAUAUUAGUUUUUAUCAGAUAGUCCAGUGUGUUUAUUUUUUGCUUUAAUUAUAUUGUGCAGUUAUUUGUUACCCUGAAAUGCUUUAUGCUUAACAACAGCUCGCUAUUUUAACUUAUUUUUGGACUCUUGUGAUCAGUAUGACCAGAUUGUGUGAGUUUCCAUACUAAAAGAGCUGUAGUGAUAAAAUAAUUGGCAUAAGAGACACUGAUUUUUGGCAUCAUAUACUGCAGAAGGUUUUUUUGUUUGUUUUUUUUGCAUAAUUUACCUUUUAAUUAAACUGCAUUCCCUGUAUUGUAACAAAACUAACAUUGUUUAUAUGUCAGAAAAUUAGCAAACAUGAAUAAAUGGCGAAAACAAAAUAAUUCUAACAUAUUUUUAUUUUACUUAUUUUAGGUCUGUGAAGCCAAACUUGAUGCUGGGGAUUUAUUUUUGUCAGUGGAGCCAAAUGGUCUAGAUGAUCACAUCUGACUUUGUCAUUUAAAUGAGGUGGACUUGCAAACUUUGCACUCUUUUGGGUAAAUUGCUGUCCACUACAUAUACACAGAAUGUGCACAGUAUUUCAGAUAUAAAAAGGGAGUAUGUAAUGGACUUGCUGGCUUUAAUGUAAAAAGCCUGUUGUGUAACUUUAAUGAGGCAGUUGGACUAAAGCAAUGUGUUGCUCAUCAAGGUAAACAUCUGAGGAAUAAGGCAAUUGUUACUUGUCCUUUUACUCAGUGUUCUUUUAAUCGCACAUUUACUCCAGUUUUACAUCACAUAAGUCAUUUUCACAAUCAUUCUACUUUAAAAGAUUUCAAGACAGAGCUUAUUGUUCUCUGAACUUCCUUGUUCGCUGAACGGCAGGUAAAGUGCAUCUUUUUGUUUGUUUGCUUUUGUGUGUUUGUGUUUUCUCUAAUGGGCCUCAGAUGACGGUUUGCUUAAAUUUGGGUCUCAAAGAAUCUUUUUUUAUUCUGCCUGUACUCCCCACCCCUCUUCUUCUGUUGCUCAGGUUGAAGCAGAAUUUGCCCGUCUUACAUCUGUUGACCUGAAAGGGUUCCUUUUUGCUGUGCUUGACCAUUAUGGAGAGGUUCGUGGAGCUGUACAAAAUCAAGAGCGGCAUAGGAGGGCUAACUAGGCUCAUAAAAUGCUUCGGUGAUGAUAGCCCUACACAAAGGAAGAGGACAGAGGACCUCACACACUCUCAAGACUGUGAAGGUUAGCAUUGUUUCUUUCAGUAAAUUUAAUAAUGACAGCACCACAGUGGAUUUUAAACUAAACAAUAGAUGCCACAUGAUAACGUGUACUUUUUCCUCACCAAAUGUAUUAUUACAAGAUCUUUGACACUGGAUUUGGUCUGGGUUUCAGAGAAACUAACUGGCAAGCUAGCAUUGAUAUUAUUAGUGUCUUGUGUUUAUUCGUGUCUUCACCAGGGUCUUUGACAUUUCGCUGCUGUACUGUUCACUUCAGCUUUACGUUUGAUUUCUCACAUUGUAUAUUGUAAUGGCAGAGAUAUUAGGAUAUUUAAGGGGCUGCAGUGGCUGCUACAGCUGUGGGGGGCAAUACUUUGGUGAAAUGUCCUGGACCCUGGAAAAGAGACUGUGUAGACUGGGUAAGCAAUUAAAGGUUACUGGCCCAGAGUCAUUGGGCAGCUGGGUAAAGGUGGAUGUUGAUAUUCAGUGCCAAUUAUGCAACCUGUUCAGCCAUGUCUAUAUGCUCUUUUUUAUGCUGUUAA